rnacentral:rRNA from 1 species
ACUUGAGUGCAGAAGAGGAGAGUGGAAUUCCACGUGUAGCGGUGAAAUGCGUAGAGAUGUGGAGGAACACCAGUGGCGAAGGCGACUCUCUGGUCUGUAACUGACGCUGAGGCGCGAAAGCGUGGGGAGCGAACAGGAUUAGAUACCCUGGUAGUCCACGCCGUAAACGAUGAGUGCUAAGUGUUAGAGGGUUUCCGCCCUUUAGUGCUGCAGCAAACGCAUUAAGCACUCCGCCUGGGGAGUACGGUCGCAAGACUGAAACUCAAAGGAAUUGACGGGGGCCCGCACAAGCGGUGGAGCAUGUGGUUUAAUUCGAAGCAACGCGAAGAACCUUACCAGGUCUUGACAUCCUCUGACAACCCUAGAGAUAGGGCUUCCCCUUCGGGGGCAGAGUGACAGGUGGUGCAUGGUUGUCGUCAGCUCGUGUCGUGAGAUGUUGGGUUAAGUCCCGCAACGAGCGCAACCCUUGAUCUUAGUUGCCAGCAUUCAGUUGGGCACUCUAAGGUGACUGCCGGUGACAAACCGGAGGAAGGUGGGGAUGACGUCAAAUCAUCAUGCCCCUUAUGACCUGGGCUACACACGUGCUACAAUGGGCAGAACAAAGGGCAGCGAAGCCGCGAGGCUAAGCCAAUCCCACAAAUCUGUUCUCAGUUCGGAUCGCAGUCUGCAACUCGACUGCGUGAAGCUGGAAUCGCUAGUAAUCGCGGAUCAGCAUGCCGCGGUG